GACGAACGCUGGCGGCGUGCUUAACACAUGCAAGUCGAACGGUAAGGCCCCUUCGGGGGUACACGAGUGGCGAACGGGUGAGUAGCACGUGAGCAACCUGCCCUUGACUCUGGAAUAACAGUUGGAAACAGCUGCUAAUACUGGAUAUUCAUCGUCUCCUUCCUGGGGGGUGGUGGAAAGCUCCGGCGGUCAGGGAUGGGCUCGCGGCCUAUCAGCUUGUUGGUGAGGUAAUGGCUCACCAAGGCUUCGACGGGUAGCCGGCCUGAGAGGGCGACCGGCCACACUGGGACUGAGAUACGGCCCAGACUCCUACGGGAGGCAGCAGUGGGGAAUAUUGCACAAUGGGCGCAAGCCUGAUGCAGCAACGCCGCGUGCGGGAUGACGGCCUUCGGGUUGCAAACCGCUUUCAGUAGGGACGAAGGGUGACUGACGGUACCUACAGAAGAAGGACCGGCUAACUACGUG
rnacentral:rRNA from 1 species